rnacentral:rRNA from 1 species
UACGAGGGGUGCAAGCGUUAUUCGGAUUUAUUGGGCGUAAAGGGUGCGUAGAUGGUUUGUUAAGUCUGCUGUUAAAUUCUCCGACUUAAUCGGAGGUAGGCGGUGGAAACUGGCAAUCUAGAGUGUGGGAGAGAGAAGUGGAAUUCCCGGAGUAGCGGUAAAAUGCACAGAUCUCGGGAGGAACACCAAUGGCGAAGGCAGCUUCUUGGCCCAUUACUGACAUUGAGGCACGAAAGCGUGGGGAGCAAACAGG